rnacentral:lncRNA from 1 species
CUUCUAAAGCAGCUAAUGUUUGCUGGGUUCCUGGUACAGGCCGGCACUGGGUCCUCCCACUUGGACUGUCCUAUGUAAUCCCCGCGGUCACCCACUAUCGUCACCCCCACGGAACCAAUGAGGGAGCCGGGGCUUAUUGAAACUAAGGAAGAAACACAACAGGGUGAAAGUAACCAGCACCACUGAACUGGACACCUAAAACGGCCAGACUGGCACCUUUAUGUUCAUGGUGACUACAAUUUUAAAUGUUUUUUUUUUUUUAAAGAAAACAAAUAUAGCAAAGAAAAACCGCAGUUUUGUCAGUGAGAGGGCCAAAUUAAAACAGAGGCAGUGGGGAUGAACCCAGGCCCGGGCUCUUGUGCAUGGUGACCAAUGGCCUGAGGUUGGAGGAUGGGUCCCUUGCCCAGUGCUGGUACCCUCUCUUCAAGACUCCAGCACCUUUGCGUGGAAUGUUUGGAAUUGACGUUUGGGUCUCCAGGCGAGCACAAAAAUUGCUGUUGCUUUGUUCAUUGACACAUCCGAAACUCCUGGUGCCACAGACAUCUGUAGAAUGAAUGAUGGAUGUUUCCUCCACUUUCCAAGGAAAUCCAGAGUUACAUCAUGUCCCCCGCCUCGGCUGCCCACGAGUCUACACGACUGUUAAUGCUGACCAGGGCAGAGGUGAAACCUCGGCUGUGGGUUGCAACCUGACCUUGGCCGGGAGGCUGCUUUUCCCAGCUUGAGGUGCAGAAGGAAGAAGGGGCUCCUCUGCUCCCCCUGCAGCAGGUGCUGUCCCCGCCAAGGAGCUGAGUGGGGAGGGUGGCUAGCACAGGGAGGGAGGUGGUGCCCCAGGGGAUCUCGGAGUUGCCUUGCAUCUCCCGGGGGACCAAGACUCAGAAAGGAAGGUGGUUUUGUAGAAAUUUAAAUUAAAGUGCUUUUCUGUGUCUGUCCCUAGGACUUCUCUGCUCCGGCGAGGUGUUCCAAUCCAGCCCAGGACCAGCCAGGCACAGCGAGCUAAGAGGGAAGUUCUUUGGGUGGCCUCUUCCGUGAGCUGGGCCUCCCCCAGGCCUUUGUAAACGUGGCCCGUGGACCUGCACCUCCCUUCCCCUUUCCUCUGCCUGCUGCCAGCAGCCCAGGGCUGCCCCUGCCCGCCUGCCAAGCAGGAAGUGGGCACCCAGUCCCCGCCCUGGCUGCUGACUGCAGGCUGGGCUGUGCCAGGAUGUCAACGCAGGUGGCCUGAUUUCCAGGGGGUUUUGCUCCUCCGGCUUCACAGAGCCACUGUUUCUAGAACUCACAGAGCUGCGCCUUCACUGUAAAUGCAGCCAGCACUGAGAUCCAAAAGUCAGUUGGCAUCAAAUGUGACCUGGAUUUGGUGGCUCAGCCUCACCUGGACGGAGACUGUAAUAGGCUGCAUUUAGCCUACUUAGUGUGCCGACAAGCGGGUUUUACAGCAGAAAUCUUAAUACAUUUCAUUGUGGCGUGCUCCGCCACGUCCCCGGGGCCGUCCAGCCAGGUGGACCAGCACUGCCUGAGCUUUCUAAAAUGUGAGCAUUUAAGGGACAUGGACCUGUACCUGUGUGUACCAGUGUCCUCACACUGGUAGACAGUGGGGAAAGGCCCGGCACAGCUCUCAGAGUCAGACUAGGUGGCUUCAGCUACACCUGCUGGUUGUGUGGUCUUGGUGAGCCCCACAAUCUUCUAGACCCUCUGUUUCUUCUUCUGUGAAACGGCAGCCAUGACAUUGCUUUCCCAGCACUGUGACAAGGUCUGUCACCUGUACCUUUUGUUACCUCCUCGCAGGUCCUUCUUAAACGGCUUCUCCCCGGUUGUCUCCGUGACAGGACUCAGAUGUCCCUCUGCUCAGGGCUCUUUCCCAGGGAGGCCCCCCAUGCCUUCCCUCGUUCUCCCGCCUGUGUCCCUGCUGAUGUGAUGUGGUCACACCUGUUGCUCUGAGGGUCAGUUCCCGAGGGUGGG